CGUGGUGACUUUACCGAAAGAACCAAGAAUAUGAAUAUCUGCUGCCACGAAAGCUUUAAAUCAACAUUUGCUGCCCUUUGUCAAGCAAAACAUAAACCGACGCCCCGCGGUUCCUCCCCAUUGGCUGGUAUUGCGGUGACGUCACAACGACGAGUGCGCAACGCAAGCGUGAGCAGGCGCACGCUUGGAGUGGACGGAACGAGGGAAGGAACACGUGGCCCCACGUUCGAGGGACCUUGUUGACCUGCUUGGCACAGCAAGUCGGCGUGGGCAGGACGCAUCGCCGGUCGACGAGAUGGGAGACGGACGGCGGCCGUGGGAGGGUAACAACAUCUGAGAGGACGAACUCCGCUGUGCUGGACCAAAUUGGAUCGGCUCGCGCGUGUGCGGCCUCGGUUUGUGCGAGCUUUAAGAAAAUUCACCAACUUUUAAAUGGCAGCAAAACAACACUCUUCCAUCGUAAUGGGAAUCUCACUUGCAAAGUUGUGGAGAUGAGAACAAAAUAAUGGGGGAAAUAUCGCAUCGGAGUUAGCAACGAGGGAGAGAACGCCGGGCAGGAGUUGGCAACCAUCCGCUGGUUGAAGCUCUCUAUGCAACCAAAUACGUAUGUGUUUUAUCGUGGUUGCUAAGCACGUGCCCAAAAGCCCACGAAGCCAAGCCCGUCAGCAACAUGCAGUGAGUUGUAAUACGUUCAUGGGACCAUUUUGUCUUGGUGCUGUUCGCCUUUUUGACAUCCUCUGAUCUAACACUGGUGAGAUAAGGCCAUGAAGGAGGCGGCAUGUGAUGUAGGCCGAUCAGUUUCAAAGACAAUGCAUAGAUUAUUAGAGCAUGUUUGUUUGCAUGUUUGUAUCACAAGCAUGUUGUGGUAAAUGCAGACUUGAUGCCUUGAAAUAGGCUUUUGAACAUUGCCGGAACGGGCAAAACCGUUUAUCUUGUUGUCGUUGUAAUCAUUGCAAUACGUUUCUUGAAUUGAACUAGGGUAUUAAGAACUUGGUAAAAUAGACCAUGGCAGAGGAUCCCGAAGUGGAAGAGAAAAAGCAGAUAUAAAAGUGUUGUGUGACCUGCAUUGUGGUGUUUGAGUAUGCUGCUCUCCAUCCUUUUCUAUGCACAACCCGGCUGUUUUUUAUUUAUUUAACUCUUUGCAAUGUUCACGUCUCAGAUCCAUGCUAUGGCAUGCUAUGGCAUGGAUCUGAAACGUGAACAUUGUCCUAUGGCAGCUUUUUUUUAAAUCAAAAGUUAGUCGUAAACAAUUUACGAUGCCAAUCUCAUUUCUUUUGAAUUAUUGCAGAUAGUCAUGGGUGUUAUUGUCGUUUAAGUAAUUGUGUUGAAAUUAUUAGUUUUUUCAAGAAUUGUAGAUUAUGCAAACGAGGCAUGAAGAUAUUGUCUUAAAUAUGUAUUCUAGAACUUUUCAAAUGUCUGGCUAAAACAUGACAAUUUUCAGGUAUAUGAGGUGAAUUAACAAUAUGUGCAUAUAUAAAACUUGGUCACCAGGGACAAGAUCAUACAAUUCACGGCGAGAGAUAUUUGCAUGGUUCAGUAAUUCUCGGCGCAAGUCCAGCAUCGCUCUAGUCGUACUGAACACUGCUUUUGAAAAUAUAAGAUAGGUGCCACUUUCCCUCCCCUCCAGUGAUAAACAGUCACGCUUUAUGCUGGCACUUUUAGUCCUUCCCUGCCAUCUGCUGGACAUUUUGAGUAUUGUAGGUUUCUCCACUGAUCCAUAUUAUUUCUUCUCCACGGUUGCUGGCCUGCAAAAAUCACACAUUUUGGAACAUAUUUUCUUUUACAAACAGUCCUUUAUUCAGUGCCCAUGCAUAACUUUACACCUGCAAAUUUGUUUCUGAAACAAGCUGCACAAUUUUCGAUUUAAAGCUUUCGUGACUGCAAGGAUUCAUAUUCUUGAUUCUUUCGGUGAAGUCACGUAGA